GGCUGACUCUCUUUUCGGACUCAGCCCGCCUGCACCCAGGUGAAAUAAACAGCCUUGUUGCUCACACAAAGCCUGUUUGGUGGUCUCUUCACACAAACGCGCAUGAAAUUUGGUGCCAUGACUCGGAUCGGGGUACCUCCCUUGGGAGAUCAAUCCCCAGUCCUCCUGCUCUUUGCUCCGUGAGAAAGAUCUACCUAGGACCUCAGGUCCUCAGACUGACCAGCCCAAGGAACAUCUCACCAAUUUCAAAUCUGGAACGCGCAUGAAAAAACCAAACAAACAAAAAAAUUUCUUUUGGUAGCAGAAUAAAAAAACAAAAAAAAGGACUUUUUCUUCUGGACUGAACUAUAUUUAAAUCUCAAAGGAUGGACAUCUCACAACCUUCCUACAGCAAGUACUGUGAGAGCUGCAUCUUGUCCCACUGGAUGGUCUUCAGAGACAAUAAUACAUAAUGGAGCUGUCAUCUCCUAUGAUAACAAUGCCUUCUUCUGGAUACCUCCUGAAGGACCUGCCUGAGGCUCUUUCACUCUCACAGCACAGUCCAUCAAUCUUACAAGCAGUUCUAAUAGUUCCUGGAUUUGGAAUUUGAUGCAGAGCUUGAUGCAGGCUUUGUAUGAACAGAUGCUUAUAUAAAAGCUAAAAUAGGCCAGGCACAGUGGCUUACACCUGUAAUCACAGCACUUUGGGAGGCCAAGGUGGGCGAAUCACUUGAGGAACAUCCAAAAUGUAUUGUUUUCAAGAGGUCAGAAUGUCUCUUCUAUCUAUGUCCACUUAGAGGACCAAACAUGACGAGGAGGAGAGACUAUGGUCCUCCCAGUCCCUGAUAAACAGCAAUAUUGAAAGUAGGCCAAUAAGUAACCGAACAAUGAUCUUUAAGUGUUCAAGUGACAGGAAGAGUCACAUGACAUAGAGUUCUCACUACAUUCUAAAGUGACUGUUCUCACUGCGUUCUAUUACAUUGACAAUACACCUAGUCACCCAAAGCUCUGAUGGAGAUGUAUAAAGAAAUUAAUGUGGUUUUCAUGUCUGCUAACACAACAUCCAUUCUGUAGCCUACGGAUUGGGGAGUCAUUCUGACUUUCGAAUACUAUUAUUUAAGCUUAGUGAUGAAAGCAUGUCAAAAGCUGAGACAGACUGAAAACUAGGCCUCGUAUGCCAAAUAGUUAGCCAAGUUGUGAAUGCAAAGAAGACGUUCUUUAAGGAAAUUAAAAGUGAUACUCUAGUGGACACAUGAAUGAUUUUUAAAUAAAUGAAAGCACUUUCUUGCUGAUAUGGAGAAAGUUUUAGUGGUCUGGAUAGAAGAUCACAUCAGUCACAACAUUCCAUUAAGCCAAAGCCAGAACAAGGCCCUAACGCUUUAAAUAUAUGAAGGCUGAGAGAGGUGAGGAAGCUUCAGAAGAAAAUGUGAAGCUAGCAGAAGUUGUUUCUUGAGGAUUAAAGAAAAAAGCUAUCUCUAUAACAUAAAAGUGCAAGAUGAAGUAUCAAAUGCUGAUGUAGAAGCUGCAGCAAGUUAUCCACUGUUCAUCAAUCAUCUGAACUAUCUGAACUUCUACACUAAACAAAAAUUCUCUACGCUAAACAAAAAAUUUUUAAUGUAGACAAAAUAGCCUUCUGUUGGAAGAAGAUGCUGUCUAGGACUUCCAUAGCUAAAGAGGAGAAGUCAAUACUUGGCUUUAAAGCUUCUAAAGACAGGCUGACCCUCUCAUUAAAGGAUAAGGAAGCUGGUGACUUUUAAGUUGAAGCCAAUAAUCAUUUACCAGUCAGAAAAUUUACAGUCCUUAAGAAUUAUGCUAAAUCUUCUCUGCCUGUCCUCUAUAAAUGAAACAACAAAGACAAAUUACAGCACAUCUGUUUACAGCACAGUUUGCAUUGUUUACUGAAUAUUUUAAGCUCACUGUUAAAAUCUACUGCUCAGAAAGAAAAGGUUUCUUUCAAAACAUUACAUUGACAAUGCACCUAGUUACCCAAGAGCUCUGAUGGAGAUGUAUAAGGAGAUUAAUGUUUUCAUGUCUGCUAACAAAAUAUCCAUUCUGUAGCCUAUGAUUCAAGGAGUCAUUUCUACUUUCAAAUUUUAUUAUUUAAGAAAUAUAUUUCAUAAGGCUAUAGCUGUCAUUGUGAUUCUGCAGAUGGAUCUGGGAAAAGUAAAUGAAACACCUCCCAGAAAGGAUUCACCAUUUUAGAUGCCAUUAAGAAUAUUCUUGAUUCAUGGGAGAUCAAAAUAUCAACAUUAACAGGAGUUUGUAAAAAGUUCAUUUCAACCCUCAUGGAUGACUUUGAGGGGUUUCAAGACUUUGGUGGAAGAAGUAACUGCAGUUGUGGUGUAAAUAGCGAGAGAACUAGAGUUAGAAGUGGAGCCUGAAAAUGUGACUGAGUUAUUGCAAUCUCAGGAUAAAACUUGAACAAAUGACAAAUUACUUCCUAGGAAUGGGCAAAGAAAAGUACUUAUUUGGGAUAGCAUUUGAUCCUGGUGAAGAUUCUGUGAAUGUUGUUGAAAUAACAAAAGAUUUCAAAUAUGUAAAACCUAAUUGAUAUAGCAACAUCAGGGUUUGAGAGAAUUGACACCAAUUUUGAAAGCAAUUUUACUGUGGGUAAAAUGCUACCAAACAACAUUACAUGCUAGAGAAACCCCUUAUCAAAGGAAAAGUCAGUCUAUGUGGAAAACUUCAUUGUUGCCUUAUUUUAAGAAAUUGUGUCAGCAACCCCAGCCUUCAGCAACCACCAUUCCAAUCACUCAGCAGCCAUCAACAUUGAGGCAAGACACUCCAGAACCAAAAAGGUUAUAACUCAUUGAAAGUUCAGGUGAUCAUUAGCAUUUUUUAGCAAUAAAGUAUUUUUAAAGUUAAUGUCUGUACAUUUUUUAGACAUAAUGCUAUUGCACACUUAAAGUAUAGUGUAAACAUAAGUUUGAUAUGCACUCGGAAACAAAAAAAAUUCUGUUACUUGCUUUGUUGCAACAUUCAUUUUAUUUCAUUGGUCUGGAACUGAACACAUAUCUCCAAGGUAUGCCUAUAUUGUUAAAAAAGAAUAGGUAUACCAGUGUCUGGGUCCUCCAAGAGACCUUCGUGAAAACAAUGAUGGAAUCUGUAAUAUCCUCUAUCUUAAAUAUCCUUAAGUUGAAGUCACAAGACUUACAAAAAUAUUUUUGUCUUUUUCUCCACUCUGAACAAAGUGUUAUCCUUUGAAAGAAUUAUUAUUCUCAGCAAACUAACACAGGAACAGAAAACCAAACACCGCAUGUUCUCACUCAUAAGUGGGAGUUGAACAAUGAGAACACAUGGACACAGGGAGGGGAACAUCACACACCGGGGCCUGUCAGGGGGUUGGGGGCUAGGGGAGGGAUAGCAUUAGGAGAAAUACCUAAUGUCAAUGAUGAGUUGAUGGGUGCAGCAAACCACCAUGGCAUGUGUAUACCUAUGUAACAAACCUGCACGUUCAAGACAUGUAUCCCAGAACUUAAAGUAUAAUAAUAAUAAUAAAAAGAAUUAUCUUUGUGAAAGACAUAAUCUC
ensembl:lncRNA LINC00458 long intergenic non-protein coding RNA 458